rnacentral:rRNA from 1 species
UACGACUCACUAUAGGGCGAAUUGGGCCCGACGUCGCAUGCUCCCGGCCGCCAUGGCGGCCGCGGGAAUUCGAUUAGAGUUUGAUCAUGGCUCAGAUUGAACGCUGGCGGCAUGCUUUACACAUGCAAGUCGAACGGCAGCACGGGAGCUUGCUCCUGGUGGCGAGUGGCGAACGGGUGAGUAAUGCAUCGGAACGUAUCCAAUAAUGGGGGAUAACGCACCGAAAGGUGUGCUAAUACCGCAUACGCCCUGAGGGGGAAAGUGGGGGAUUCGCAAGGACCUCACGUUGAUGGAGCGGCUGAUGUCGGAUUAGCUAGUUGGUGAGGUAAAGGCUCACCAAGGCGACGAUCCGUAGCUGGUCUGAGAGGACGACCAGCCACACUGGGACUGAGACACGGCCCAGACUCCUACGGGAGGCAGCAGUGGGGAAUUUUGGACAAUGGGGGCAACCCUGAUCCAGCCAUGCCGCGUGAGUGAAGAAGGCCUUCGGGUUGUAAAGCUCUUUCGUGAGGAAAGAAACGGUUCAGGCGAAUACCCUGAGCUAAUGACGGUAC